rnacentral:rRNA from 1 species
GACGAACGCUGGCGGCGUGCUUAACACAUGCAAGUCGAGCGGUAAGGCUCCCUCGGGAGUACACGAGCGGCGAACGGGUGAGUAACACGUGAGCAAUCUACCCUUCACUUUGGAAUAACUUUCGGAAACGGAAGCUAAUACCAAAUACGACCACCGAAGGCAUCCUUGGUGGUGGAAAGUUCCGGCGGUGGAGGAUGAGCUCGCGGCCUAUCAGCUUGUUGGUGGGGUAAGUGGCCUACCAAGGCGACGACGGGUAGCCGGCCUGAGAGGGUGACCGGCCACACUGGGACUGAGACACGG